rnacentral:tRNA from 1 species
GCCCUUGUAGAUCAGUGGUAUAGAUCGUUGUGCUUGUAACACAAAGGUCUGGUGUUCAAAUCACCACUGGGGCU